AGGACGAACGCUGGCGGCGUGCUUAACACAUGCAAGUCGAGCGGUAAGGCCUUUCGGGGUACACGAGCGGCGAACGGGUGAGUAACACGUGGGUGAUCUGCCCUGCACUUCGGGAUAAGCCUGGGAAACUGGGUCUAAUACCGGAUAUGACCUCAGGUUGCAUGACUUGGGGUGGAAAGAUUUAUCGGUGCAGGAUGGGCCCGCGGCCUAUCAGCUUGUUGGUGGGGUAAUGGCCUACCAAGGCGACGACGGGUAGCCGGACCUGAGAGGGUGACCGGCC
rnacentral:rRNA from 1 species